AUGAAAAGCGUAUUCAUUAUUUUGCUUAUUCUUUCCAUUCAUUUUGGAAAUCAAGUGGAAAUGUUAGAGGCAAGAGAAUGUAACAAAGUUGUAGCUGGUUUAUGUCGCAAGUCUGGAAGGAGAAUUCAAUGCAAAAUCCAAUGCAAGGCAUUAUGUGGAACAUUUUCUGCACGUGGUGAAUGUGGAAUAGACAAAGAUUGCCAUUGUAGUUGUUGUUAA